rnacentral:rRNA from 1 species
GUUGAACGCUGGCGGCAUGCCUUACACAUGCAAGUCGAACGGUAACAGGUUACGCUGACGGGAGUCGAGCGGGUGAGUAAUGUAUCAGAACGUGCCCAUUCGUGGUGCAUGACUGCUUGAACGAGCAGCUAAUACCGCAUACGCCCUGAGGGUGAAAGCGUGGGGUCGCAAUUCCUCGCUCUAUUGGGUCUGCCGUUAUCUGGUUGGGUAUUUGGUGAGGUAAAGGCUCACGACGCCGACGAUCUGUAGCUGGUCUGAGAGGACGACGAGCCACACUGGGAGUGAGACACGGCACAGACUCCGACGGGAGGCAGAAGUGGGGAAUGUUGGACAAAGGGCGCAAGACUGAUCAAGCGAUGCAGCGUGCGGGAAGAAGGCCUGCGGGUGGUAAAACGCUUUUGUCAGGGAAGAAAAGGUUCUGGAGAAAACAUGCGACUCAUGACGGUACCUGAAGAAGAAGCACCGGCUAACUACGUG